rnacentral:rRNA from 1 species
CCUACGGGCGGCUGCAGUGGGGAAUAUUGGACAAUGGGGGCAACCCUGAUCCAGCCAUGCCGCGUGUGUGAAGAAGGCCCUCGGGUUGUAAAGCACUUUCAGUGAGGAAGAACGCCUGGUGGUUAAUACCCAUCAGGAAAGACAUCACUCACAGAAGAAGCACCGGCUAACUCCGUGCCAGCAGCCGCGGUAAUACGGAGGGUGCGAGCGUUAAUCGGAAUUACUGGGCGUAAAGCGCGCGUAGGUGGCUUGAUAAGCCGGUUGUGAAAGCCCCGGGCUCAACCUGGGAACGGCAUCCGGAACUGUCAAGCUAGAGUGCAGGAGAGGAAGGUAGAAUUCCCGGUGUAGCGGUGAAAUGCGUAGAGAUCGGGAGGAGUACCAGUGGCGAAGGCGGCCUUCUGGACUGACACUGACACUGAGGUGCGAAAGCGUGGGUAGCAAACAGGAUUAGAUACCCGAGUAGUC